ACGAGUGGGCAUUCUGUGACUCGGUACUUCCCUUUAGGCCCUGUCCUGGCAUUUGAUCCAUGAGCAGAUCCCGCUGAGUCUGGAUCUCCAGGCAGGGCUGGACUGCUGCUGCCUGGCCCUGCAGCUGCCUGGCCUCUGGAGCGUGGUCUCCUCCACAGAGUUUGUGACCCACGCCUGCUCCCUCAUCCACUGUGUGCACUUCAUCCUGGAGGCCGGUGAGUCCCCGUCCAUGAACGUUGCAGUGCAGCCUGGAGAGCAGCUUCUUAGUCCAGAAAGAAGGACAAAUACCCCAAAAGCCAUCAGCGAGGAGGAGGAGGAAGUAGAUCCAAACACACAGAAUCCUAAGUAUAUCACCGCAGCCUGUGAGAUGGUGGCAGAAAUGGUGGAGUCUCUGCAGUCGGUGUUGGCCUUGGGUCAUAAAAGGAAUAGCGGCGUGCCGGCGUUCCUCACGCCAGUGCUCAGGAACAUCAUCAUCAGCCUGGCCCGCCUGCCCCUUGUCAACAGCUACACACGUGUG
rnacentral:lncRNA from 1 species